AUGAAGACAUUGACAUCAAAACAACAGCUAAGGGAGUUCGAGUCUUAUGCUGGGUUAUGACAAGUCCAGCAAAUCACGUAAAGAAAGCCAAACACGUGAAAGCAACUUGGGGGAAGAGAUGCAAUAUUCUUUUGUUCAUGAGUACCCAAUACGAUCCCCAUCUUCCUAUUAUAAAAUUGAACGUUUCGGAGGGAAGGAAUUCUUUAUGGGGGAAAACAAAGUCUGCAUUCAGAUAUAUUUAUGAGCAUCAUAGAGAGGAUGCGGAUUGGUUUCUAAAGGCAGAUGACGAUACCUACGUAAUAAUAGAAAAUUUGAAGUAUUUUCUCAUGUCUCAAAAUACUUCGGAACCAAUAUACUUCGGGUGCAAAUUUCGGACUUUAGUGAAGCAGGGAUUUAUGAGUGGAGGUGCCGGUUACGUGUUAAGUAAAGAAGCUGUAAGAAGAUUUGUCGAAGCAUUAGACAAUAAUCAGUGUCGCAAAGAUGAUGGAGGAGCAGAAGAUGUAGAAAUAGGACUGUGCUUAGAGAAAAUAGGCGUCUUCGCUGGGGAUACUAGAGAUAGCAGAGGCAGAGGAAGAUUUUUUCCGAUGGUGCCAGAGAAUCAUAUAAUACCAAAUGCCAUCCCUAACAAUAGCUGGUAUUGGAAACUUAUAUACUAUCCAGUAAAAAAGGGUAUGAACUGCUGCAGCGAUACUGCCAUUUCUUUCCAUUACGUGCCUCCCAAUAUGAUGUAUGUGUUUGAAUAUCUUAUCUAUUACCUGAAGCCUUUUCGCGUAAUCAAUUCCACUCAUCAAGUUGGAAAUUCUUAGACCUAAUUGGACUCCCAAAUUAACUAUUAAGUACAAUAGAGUUUCUGUAAUCUGACGUAUAUAGGACCGGCGAGUGUCGGAUUACUGGAUUUUGUAUGUACAGUAAGUACAUUUAUGUACAGUUAUGUACAGUUAAACAUUAUAAAUGCAUUUUAUCAAUAAUAUUAACAUUUACUGAUACUUACUGUACAGUAAAACACGUACUUGGUUCAUAGGUUAGUUUAUCGUAUUAAUCACGAUUGUGACUGUUUUGGUGACCGAACCUGCAACGAACGAGCAAAAAUUAUUGUGACAUUGUCACAAUGCUGGGCUGAAAUUUUUAAUCAUUUUUUAUUUAUUUAAUUUAAAAUAUAUGUUAUCGAUUUUUGUAAUGUCUUGCUUCUGUACAGUACAUCAUACUUUUCCUAAAAACAAUAGAAUCAUACUGGUCAUCUGUCUAACUCUGUUCUGAAGAAAAUCUUUUGAAUUGAAAUCAUGUAGGAGCCUCCUGUCCCUAAGCUUUCUGUAUCUGAUCUCGACUUUGAUGACUUACUCCUUUCUUGCGAUUAAGGAAAGACAGGCAGGUGGACGUCAGUGGGAAUUUAUAGAUUUGCAAUUUGAUAACAACUAGUGACUGACAGUGUACGUAUACAUCAGUCUCUGUCAUGUACUGAAUGAACAUCGACAAGAAGUAACACAAAAAUUUGAUGUGCAUUGCCGUGGUUUGUCGCAUUACUGGACGUAUCGGACUGGCAAGUGAAAACUAGAGACUCUACUGUAACUUGAAGAAUUACACAAGAAAUUUUAAUUUAAAUCGUGAUUUGUCUUCGAUGUACAGUACAUUCUAUUUAUAUAAAACAUCUUUUGCUUCAUUUUAAACAUUAUAAAUGCAUUUUAUCAAUAAUACAGUAUUAACAUUUACCGAUACUUUCCUCUCGUCAGAAUUGUGGAUUAUGAUUAUCAGUUAAUGAUUCAUGUAAAGACU
rnacentral:misc_RNA from 1 species